rnacentral:tRNA from 1 species
GGGAUCAUAGCUCAGCUGGGAGAGCACCUGCCUUACAAGCAGGGGGUCACAGGUUCGACCCCUGUUGGUCCCA